GGUGGGGGUGCCGGGAACAGUAAUUUGACUUUCUCUCUGUGAAUUUGAGACAGACAGAAAGUUGAUUUACUGCAUUUCUGUCACCUCUCUA